GUGUCAGCCGCCGCGGUAAGACGAGCCACACGAACGUUAUUCGGAAUUACUGGGCUUAAAGGGUGCGUAGGCGGUGCGGAAAGUUGGGUGUGAAAUCCCUCGGCUCAACCGAGGAACUGCGCUCAAAACUACCGUACUUGAGGAAGAUAGAGGUGAGCGGAACUUACGGUGGAGCGGUGAAAUGCGUUGAUAUCGUAAGGAACACCCGUGGCGAAAGCGGCUCACUGGGUCUUUUCUGACGCUGAUGCACGAAAGCUAGGGGAGCAAACGGGAUUAGAUACCCCGGUAGUCC
rnacentral:rRNA from 1 species